AACUGGUUGGGAGCUGAUGCUGCUCUCCUGACGAGGUCAUAGCAGACCGAAACUAAUU
rnacentral:hammerhead_ribozyme from 15 species